AGAGCGAACGCUGGCGGCAGGCUUAACACAUGCAAGUCGAGCGGGCGGUAGCGAAUAACGGUCAGCGGCAGACGGGUGAGUAACGCGUGGGAACGUACCUUUUGGUUCGGAACAACCCAGGGAAACUUGGGCUAAUACCGGAUAAGCCCUUACGGGGAAAGAUUUAUCGCCGAAAGAUCGGCCCGCGUCUGAUUAGCUAGUUGGUGAGGUAAUGGCUCACCAAGGCGACGAUCAGUAGCUGGUCUGAGAGGAUGAUCAGCCACAUUGGGACUGAGACACGGCCCAAACUCCUACGGGAGGCAGCAGUGGGGAAUAUUGGACAAUGGGCGCAAGCCUGAUCCAGCCAUGCCGCGUGAGUGAUGAAGGCCCUAGGGUUGUAAAGCUCUUUUGUGCGGGAAGAUAAUGACGGUACCGGCAAGAAUAAGCCCCGGCUAACUUCGUGCCAGCAGCCGC
rnacentral:rRNA from 1 species